AGCCCCAUAGUGUAGCGGUCAAUCAUUCUGGCCUUUGGAGCCAGAGACGUCGGUUCGAAUCCGGCUGGGGCUA
rnacentral:tRNA from 1 species